AUGCGUUGGCACGAUGAGGGUCGUACUAAAGAUGGAAAGAUACGGGAUCCAGCUGAUGGCGAGUGUUGGAAAGAUCUUGAUGCUAGAUACCCCGGUUUUGCUGCUGAUCCUCGUAAUCCGCGCCUUGGCAUUUCGAGUGAUGGAUUUAACCCUUUUAGGAGUAUGAGUUCAAAACAUAGUACUUGGCCAGUGAUGCUUAUCCCGUACAACCUAUCGCCUUGGAUUUGCAUGAAAGAAACAUCUCUAAUUUUAUCGAUGAUCAUUCCUGGACCAGCUUCCCCUGGGAAUGACAUUGAUAUAUAUUUGCAGCCACUGAUUGAUGAGCUCUUACAGUUAUGGGAUGGUGUAGACACAUUCGACGCUUCCUCGCAGGAGAUAUUUCCACUCAAGGCUGCACUGUUAUGGACUUUAAAUGAUUUUCCAGCAUUAGCUUACCUGUACGGUUGGAGCACAAGUGGUAAAUAUGGGUUUCCAUCAUGUGGUCCUUGUACAAGAUCAUUUCGCCUGAAUAAGAGUAUGAAACUUUGUUAUAUGGGUCACCGUCGCUGGUUACCACAGGGUCAUGUAUUUCGAAACCGAAGAAGGCAGGAAUUUGAUGGCACUAAAGUGACAGAAUUGGCACCGACAACUAUGAGUGGUAGUUCAGCUUUGAAAAGGUUGCAAGGCAGAGUGUUUGUGUUAGGCAAAAAAGGCAAUGUAGCAAAGAAAGCAAAGGGCGGAAAGAAGGUCAAAAACAGUGAAAAAGAAAAUGAAAUGAAUCAAGAGCCGAAGCGUAAAAGGAAGGCAGGCAACAAGAAGUCAAUUAAGAACCAAGGUAAGCCUGAGAAGAAGCCUGAGGAUUGGUUAAAAAAAUCAAUAUUUUUCAACUUGCCAUAUUGGGAACUUAACAAGUUAAGGCACAAUCUUGAUGUAAUGCACAUAGAAAAGAAUGUGUUUGAUAAUUUAAUUGGAACGUUGUUGGAUAUUGAUUCUAAAACAAAGGAUGGCCUUAAUGCACGGCUUGAUUUGGCAGAAAUUGGUGAAAAUGGAAUUCGACAUAAUCUUCAUCCUGUUGUAGAUGAUAAUGGAAAAAUAGUAUUGCCUGAUGCACCAUUUACUAUGUCUAGAAAACAGCAAGAAAUACUUUGUUCAGUGAUGCACAAUAUUAGGACCUCCGAUGGAUAUGCAUCAAAUUUUUCUAGGCAUGUCAACAUGAAAGAUUGUACAAUCUCAGGUCUCAAAAGUCAUGAUUGUCAUGUUAUUCUGGAAGAUAUUCUUCCUCUAGCACUUCGAUCCUGUUACCCACACAAAGAGGUCAUGGAAAUAGUUAUCGGGCUGUCUAAUUUCUUCAAGAAACUAUGCUCGAAAGUGUUAGAUGUCUCUGAGCUUGACGAACUUCAAGAGAGUAUUGUGAUGACACUUUGCAAUAUGGAGAGAAUUUUUCUUCCAUCAUUCUUUACUAUCAUGGUGCAUCUAAUGGUGCACUUGGUUGAAGAAGUUAAACUUGGUGGUCCAGUGCACUAUCGGUGGAUGUACCCCCUAGAGAGAUCAUUUGUUCGGCUGAAAGCACUUGUACGCAAUAGAGCAUUUCCUGAAGGUUCAAUUGCUGAAGGGUAUCUUGCCCAAGAAUGCUUGACCUUUUGUUCAAGAUUUCUAGAAGGAACUACAUGUUUUACAAGACCAUCAAGAAACCCCAAUCCUUCAGACAAGAUAAAAGAUUUGUACAUGUUCCAUAGUGCUGGUGAGCCAAUUGGAAAGGUUGUCCCAGUUGGGCAGUUUAAUAGCCGGCUUCUUAUUCAAGCACACCGAUAUGUCUUGCGACAUUGUGAUGAGCUUGCAGAUUUCCGCAAUGAAUUUGUGGCCGAAGAGAAUAGCAAACGAUGUGACUCAGCUAAUUUGACAGAAGCUGAUACCACUAAGUUAAUUAAUGAACACUUUGCUGACUGGUUGGAACAAAAGGUUUUACAGAGCGAUGGAUCAACUAUUACAGAAAAGGUAAGAGCUUUGGCUGCAAAACCCAACAGAUAUGGGGUGCGCUACAGUGGCUAUGUCAUCAACGGCUUUAGGUUCCACACGAUGAGUCAUGAGUCAGUGCAUGUCACACAAAAUAGUGGUGUAGUGAACAUUGCAGAAAAAUGGUGUUAG
rnacentral:rRNA from 1 species